GGCAAGAUGUAGCUCAGUGGCAGAGCAUCUGCUUUGCAUGCAGAAGCUCCAGGUGGGUGGCGCUGUGAGUUAAACCACAGAGCCUAGGACUUGCCG